ensembl:lncRNA
ACUCGUGAAUCUCAACCCAGCAGCAGCGGUAACGUUUGCACGUCCUCUCCCGUUAAUGCGGCAGGUUCUCAAGCUAACACACGCCUUGCCAUCAUUGCUGGCACUGCCAUUGCUGCCGUUGUGGUCGUGAUAAUCUUCUAUGUAAUUGCCCGGAGAUGUGGUGCAACGAACGAGCAAAUCUUUGAAUCUUGUGGCAAACCCUUUUUUAAGCUCGCAAUGGCAUGCUCUGAGCUGCUUCAAAAAACGGAAUAAAAGGGUUUGAUUUUUUGUCUUUUGGAUACUAAAGAUUUUUCAUUCAUACUGUUUUUAAUAGCUUUUAGCACACUUGUUAUAUCUGUCUUUCUUAUAUCUCUUUUGAAAAAAAAAUCUGUAUGCUUGAAUGUUGUAGUCAAUCGAUUUUCUGUUUAUGCUUAAAAAAAUGUUCUGUUUAAAGAUAUUUAUGAAAUUGGGUGGUAUGUAUAACCUGCUUUU